rnacentral:lncRNA from 1 species
GCGGGCGGACCCGCCGGCGGCACGGGCUCGGCUGGCGCGGGCGGGCCCGGCGGCGGCUCGGGGCUGGAGGGGGCUGGAGGGGUGAGCGCCGCAGGGCGGGGGAUCUCCGGCGGCGAGCGGCGCGUCCAGCUGGGGGUGGAGGGAGCGCCGUCGGCGGCGCGUCCCGGGCCCGGCGGCGGCUCGGGGCUGGAGGGUCCGAGGCAGCGGCGCGGCCGGGGUCCGAGGCAGGCAGCGCGGCCGGAGCUCCCCUGGCUGGCUGCUGUCACACGGAGGAAGAUGGUGUACUCGUGACAAUGACAGGUGGGGCCCACUAACGGUAGCUAACGGAAGCUGAAAACGGUGGUCGUCCCAUCUACUUGAGUACCUCCAACCAAACAAAAAAAUGGGACGAACUCAUUCUUGUCAACCAAACACGAGUCGGGACGAUCCCAUCCUAAAAAACUGGGACAGAACCGACCCAUCCCACCUCGUCUCCAAACCAAACGCACCCUAAG